rnacentral:rRNA from 1 species
ACGAACGCUGGCGGCAGGCCUCACCCAUGCCAGUCGAGCGAGGACUUCGGUUCUAGCGGCGGACGGGUGAGUAACGCGUGGGAAUGUGCCCUUCUCUACGGAAUAGCCCUGGGAAACUGGGAGUAAUACCGUAUACGCCCUAUUGGGGAAAGAUUUAUCGGAGAAGGAUCAGCCCGCGUUGGAUUAGGUAGUUGGUGGGGUAAUGGCCUACCAAGCCGACGAUCCAUAGCUGGUUUGAGAGGAUGAUCAGCCACACUGGGACUGAGACACGGCCCAGACUCCUACGGGAGGCAGCAGUGGGGAAUCUUAGACAAUGGGGGCAACCCUGAUCGAGCCAUGCCGCGUGAGUGAUGAAGGCCUUAGGGUUGUAAAGCUCUUUCAGCUGGGAAGAUAAUGACGGUACCAGCAGAAGAAGCCCCGGCUAACUCCGUG